GAGGCUAUAGCUCAGUGGUAGAGUGCAUGCUUAGCAUGCACAAGGUUCUGGGUUCAAUUUCUGGUACCUCCA
rnacentral:tRNA from 1 species